rnacentral:rRNA from 1 species
GUGGGGAAUAUUCCGCAAUGGACGAAAGUCUGACGGAGCAACGCCGCGUGAGUGAUGAAGGUUUUCGGACUGUAAAGCUCUGUUGUUUAGGACGAAAGUGCCUGUUGCAAAUAGUUACAGGUAUUGACGGUACUGAACGAGGAAGCCACGGCUAACUACGUGCCAGCAGCCGCGGUAAUACGUAGGUGGCAAGCGUUGUCCGGAAUUAUUGGGCGUAAAGUGCAUGUAGGCGGGAAUCUAAGUCUGUUGUGAAACUGCGGGGCUCAACCCCGUAUUGCGAUGGAAACUGGGUUUCUUGAGUGCAGGAGAGGAAAAGGGAAUUCCCAGUGUAGCGGUGAAAUGCGUAGAUAUUGGGAGGGACACCAGUGGCGAAGGCGCCUUUCUGGACUGUGUCUGACGCUGAGAUGCGAAAGCCAGGGUAGCGAACGGGAUUAGAUACCCCAGUAGUCC